AGGGAGUCAGGAACUCGAGCCUGAUAGCUGUCAAACAAACACACGCAAAAAAGAAAAAAGGUGCCCGGAGAGACCUCGCACGGUCUCCUGCCUACAUACCUCGUUUGGAACGAGGAUCAGGGCGAUGUAGUUCCCCUACAGAGGGGAGAAAGACUAGCCUGACCAGAUAACAGAGGGAGACACAACUAGGGAGACUACGAC
rnacentral:lncRNA from 1 species